GGUGUGGGAGCUCCUCCCACCCCCACCCCAGGCACCUUCUCUCCUGCCAGGCUCUGUGCUUCACAUGUAGCUGCAUCCACGCCUGACAGCUUCCAGAAGGGUCUGCCUUUUCUGGACCUUUCGCACAAAUGGACUCCUACCCUCUGGGAUGUUUUUGUGACCAGUAUCGGUGUUCUUUGGGGCAGAGAAGUCAUCUCUCUCGCUGGUUCAGCCUGCUCUCAAGUGCAGGUCCUCCUUGGCUGAGUGCCUGUUCUGCCUGACCGUCGUCCAGAGAUGAGGUGCUGGUGAGCGGAGGGGACCUCGGGCAUAGUGAGGACCACAGGCGCUGAGAUGUGUGCACUGGUGGCUUCUGAUGAGGCACGACCCGGUCCAGGUCAGCCUUCUUCGUGUGGUUUCGGAAGCAAACGGAAGAUCCUCUGCCUCUAAAACUCCAGCUUCCACGGGGCGCCCGGGUGGCUCAGGCAUGGACUCUUGAUUUCAGCUCAGGUCGUGAUCUCACGGUUCAUGGGAUCAAGCCCCACGUCAUGCUCUAU